CCAAUAGCGUAUAUUAAAGUUGUUGCAGUUAAAAAGCUCGUAGUUGAACUUCGGGAUUUACCCAUUGGUCAGGCUUAAUUGUCUGUACUGGUGAGAUGAAUCUCUACCUUCUGAGGAACUUUCAUGCCAUUUAUUUGGUGUGAUGGGAAAUCAGGACUGUUACUUUGAAAAAAUUAGAGUGUUUAAAGCAGGCUAACGUCUGAAUACAUUAGCAUGGAAUAAUGAAAUAGGACGGACUGAUUCUAUUUCGUUGGUUUCUAGGAUCACCGUAAUGAUUAAUAGGGAUAGUUGGGGGCAUUAGUAUUCAAUUGUCAGAGGUGAAAUUCUGGGAUUUAUUGGAGACUAACUACUGCGAAAGCAUUUGCCAAGGAUGUUUUCAUUAAUCAAGAACGAAAGUUAGGGGAUCGAAGACGAUCAGAUACCGUCGUAGUCUUAACCAUAAACUAUGCCGACUAGGGAUCGGACGAAGUUAAUUUUAUAAUGACGCGUUCGGCACCUUACG
rnacentral:rRNA from 1 species